rnacentral:rRNA from 1 species
GAUGAACGCUAGCGGCAGGCUUAAUACAUGCAAGUCAAGGGGCUCGCAAGAGCACCGGCGGACGGGUGCGUAACGCGUACAGAACGUGCCUUUGGGCGGGGGAUAGCAUUGGGAAACUGGUGGUAAUACCCCAUGGUAUUCUGGGUUGGCAUCGACCUGGGAUUAAAGUUUCGGCGCCCAAAGAUCGCUGUGCGUCCGAUUAGCUAGUUGGCGGGGUAACGGCCCACCAAGGCGACGAUCGGUAGGGGGGUGUGAGAGCAUGACCCCCCACACGGGUACUGAGACACGGACCCGACUCCUACGGGAGGCAGCAGUAAGGAAUAUUGGACAAUAGGCGGAAGCCUGAUCCAGCAAUGCCGCGUGAGUGAUGAAGGCCUUAGGGUUGUAAAGCUCUUUUACCAGGGAUGAUAAUGACAGUACCUGGAGAAUAAGCUCCGGCUAACUCCGUG